CUUAAAUGUCUAAUCUCUGUGGAUUACCUGACCUCACUUGAGCCCUGAGGUAGAAGAUAAUAAUCACUGGAGGGAGAGAGGGAGAGACAGGAUUGGAAAGAAGGAGACACAUGGGGACAGAAAACGGAGAUAAAACAAUAUAGGGAAGACAUACCGGCACACUGGAGGAAGAACUUCACUUGGUCUGAAGUCUAAAGGACAACUAUAAAAGAGAGAGAACGCUGGAGAACAUCGAGGACUGUCUUGAACUCGAGUCCCAGAAGAAGACCACAAAGGUUGUGAUUAAUUUGACUUUGGAGCCUCUGAACAUGUCUCUGAACCAGUGUGAAUCAGUGGCAGUGAGCGUGGAGUCCCUUCUCACUGACGCCAAGAGGAUGCAGAUGCAGUGCCGCGAACGCAGCGAGCAGCUCUCCAUAGCCGCCACGCAGCUGAGGGUGGAGUCGGCCGCCCUGAGGGAGCAGUGCGAGUCCACCCAGCUCGACAUGGCGCGAAUCCGCCGGCAGCUGGACGAGCUGAUGGAUACCAAAGCCGCCUUCGAGGCUAGGGAGAGGCAGGCGCGUAAACUCAGCAAGCAUCUGUGAGGGGAAUGAGGAAGAGAGGGAUGGUGAUGGUGAUGGUGAACACUUGAUUUGCACUAAAGGUGGAAAGUGGGGGUGAGGAGGUGAGAAGAAGGGGUUUAAGUCUAGAAACUCUGAGGGGAGGGGGAGAAAUGGAUGAGGGAGGCAAGGAAGACAGAGAGAGAGAAGGAAGGGAAAAGAUGCCCAGUGAUGGGAGUCAGAGAAAGAAAGAAAGAAAAAAGCACUUUAUCAAUACUGACAGCUCUUUCUUGUUCCUAUUGGCUGUGGCUGCUAUGUGAAACGUGAAUACGCACAAGAACUUGAUCCCUCUC